AGUCGAGCGGAUCGAUGGGAGCUUGCUCCCUGAGAUCAGCGGCGGACGGGUGAGUAACACGUGGGUAACCUGCCUGUAAGACUGGGAUAACUCCGGGAAACCGGGGCUAAUACCGGAUAACACCUACCCCCGCAUGGGGGAAGGUUGAAAGGUGGCUUCGGCUAUCACUUACAGAUGGACCCGCGGCGCAUUAGCUAGUUGGUGAGGUAAUGGCUCACCAAGGCGACGAUGCGUAGCCGACCUGAGAGGGUGAUCGGCCACACUGGGACUGAGACACGGCCCAGACUCCUACGGGAGGCAGCAGUAGGGAAUCUUCCGCAAUGGACGAAAGUCUGACGGAGCAACGCCGCGUGAGUGAAGAAGGUUUUCGGAUCGUAAAACUCUGUUGUUAGGGAAGAACAAGUGCCGUUCGAAUAGGGCGGCGCCUUGACGGUACCUAACCAGAAAGCCACGGCUAACUACGUGCCAGCAGCCGCGGUAAUACGUAGGUGGCAAGCGUUGUCCGGAAUUAUUGGGCGUAAAGCGCGCGCAGGUGGUUUCUUAAGUCUGAUGUGAAAGCCCACGGCUCAACCGUGGAGGGUCAUUGGAAACUGGGGAACUUGAGUGCAGAAGAGGAAAGUGGAAUUCCAAGUGUAGCGGUGAAAUGCGUA
rnacentral:rRNA from 2 species